GCUGGCGGCGUGCUUAACACAUGCAAGUCGCACGAGUAACGCUUCAGCUUGCUGAAGUUAGUAAAGUGGCGCACGGGUGAGUAACGCGUGGGUAAUCUUCCCCCGAAUCGGGGAUAACAUUGCGAAAGCGAUGCUAAUACCGGAUAAUAUCUCAGAUACCCCGGUGUUUGAGAUCAAAGGUGGCCUCUACAUGUAAGCUAUUGUUUGGGGAUGAGCCCGCGUACCAUUAGCUUGUUGGUAGGGUAACGGCCUACCAAGGCUGCGAUGGUUAGCUGGUCUGAGAGGAUGAUCAGCCACACUGGAACUGACACACGGUCCAGACUCCUACGGGAGGCAGCAGUGAGGAAUUUUGCGCAAUGGGGGAAACCCUGACGCAGCAACGCCGCGUGAGUGAUGAAGGCUUUCGGGUCGUAAAGCUCUGUCAAGUGGGAAGAACCCACGUGGUGCUAAUAUCACCAUGUGCUGACGGUACCACUGAAGGAAGCACCGGCUAACUCCGUGCCAGCAGCCGCGGUAAUACGGGGGGUGCAAGCGUUAUUC
rnacentral:rRNA from 1 species